rnacentral:rRNA from 1 species
UCAAGAAAGAAAGGGCGCAAGGUGGAUGCCUUGGCACAUGAAGGCGAUGAAGGACGUAAGUGAACGAAAACUAGGGAGAGCUCACAAAAAGCACUGACCCCUAGGUCUCCGAAUGGGGAAACCCGGCUGUGGAAGACACAGUCAUUACUAAGUGAAUACAUAGCUUAGUAAAGCAAGACCCUGUGAACUGAAACAUCUAAGUAACAGGAGGAAAAGAAAGAAAACUCGAUUUUCCAAGUAGCGGCGAGCGAAAAGAAAAGAGCCUAAUCCAUUGAGGAAUAUCUAGUUAGUCGAAUCAUCUGGGAAGAUGAACCAAAGAAAGUGAAAGUCUUGUAGACGAAAACUAAAUAAACCAGGGAGGAAAGUAGCACCGGACACGAGGAAUCCGUUGUGAAGAUAGGGGGACCAUCCCCUAAGGCUAAAUACUAACAUGUGACCGAUAGCGAACAAGUACCGUGAGGGAAAGGUGAAAAGAACCCCCGAAAGGGGGAGUGAAACAGAACCUGAAACCUAGUGCCUACAAGCAGAGAGAGCUCUAAAGAGUGAUCUCGUACCUUUUGUAGAAUGGGCCAGCGAGUUAUCGUAUAUAGCAAGGUUAAAUCUUUUAAGAGAUGAAGCCAAAGCGAAAGCGAGUCUUAAUAGGGGCGAAUAGUUAGAUGCGAUAGACCCGAAACCGGGUGAUCUAUCCAUGGUCAGAGUGAAGGUGAAGUAAAAUUCACUGGAGGCUCGAACCGGGUCGGUUUAAAACGUAUCGGAUGAACUGUGGAUAGGGGCAAAAACCAAACGAACUCGGAUAUAGCUGGUUCUCCUCGAAAUAGCUUUAGGGCUAGCCUUUGAUUAAGAUUUAAGGAGGUAGAGCACUGAAUGGUCUAGGGCGGCUUACCGUACCAAAACCUAUCAAACUCCGAAUGCCAAAAAAUCAAUCAAGGAGUCAGACUUAGGGGGAUAAGCUUUAAGUCGAAAGGGAAACAGCCCAACCGACAGCUUAAGGUCCCAAAAUUGGAUUAAGUGGAAAACGAUGUGGGAAGGCAUAGACAGCUUAGGAGGUUGGCUUAGAAGCAGCCACCCUUUAAAGAAAGCGUAAUAGCUCACUAGUCGAGUCGGCCUGCGCGGAAGAUGUAACGGGGCUAAAACUAUGUGCCGAAGCUGCGGAUUUGACAUUAGUCAAGUGGUAGGGGAGCGUUCUGUAAGCCGAUGAAGGUGUAUUGAGAAGUAUGCUGGAGGUAUCAGAAGUGCGAAUGCUGACGUGUAAGUAACGAUAAAGGGGGUGAGAAACCCCCUCGCCGCAAGACUAAGGUUUCCUGAUCAACGCUAAUCGGAUCAGGGUUAGUCGGGUCCUAAGGCUCAGCCGAACGGUGAGGCCGAUGGCAGAACAGGUUAAUAUUCCUGUACUACCUAUAAGAGUGAUGUGGAGACGGAGGAGUGACAACGCCGCGGACUGACGGAAUAGUCCGUUAAAGGGUGUAGAUGUUGAUUAUCCCAGGCAAAUCCGGGAUAAGAGUCGAACCUGAAGUAUACCAAUUUCCUCGGAAAACGGUAAUAGUGCGUGUAAACAUACUCCCAAGAAAAUCCGCUAAACUUAAUCUUAUAGGUACCCGUACCGUAAACGGACACACGUAGUCGGGUUGAAUAUACUCAGGCGCUUGAGUGAAUCACUUUGUUAAGGAACUCGGCAAAAUGUCCCCGUAACUUCGGGAGAAGGGGAGCCAGAGCGAUCUGGCCACAGAAACCAGGCCCAAGCGACUGUUUACCAAAAACACAAGUUUCUGCAAAAUCGAAAGAUGAAGUAUAGGAGCUGACACCUGCCCGGUGCUGGAAGGUUAAGGGGAAGGCUUAGCAUAAGCGAAGGCUAGAACUUAAGCCCCAGUAAACGGCGGCCGUAACUAUAACGGUCCUAAGGUAGCGAAAUUCCUUGUCGGGUAAGUUCCGACCCGCACGAAAGGUGUAACGAUUUGGGCACUGUCUCAACAAAGGAUCCCGGUGAAAUUGUAGUAGUCGUAAAGAUGCGAACUUACCCCACGCUAGGACGGAAAGACCCCGUGGAGCUUUACUGUAGGCUGAUAUUGGACUUUGAGAUUAGACGUACAGGAUAGUUGGGAGACUUUGAAACACGCACGCCAGUGUAUGUGGAGUCACCCUUGGGAUACCAACCCUCUAAUAUUAAAGUUCUAACGAUGACCCUUGAAUCAGGGCAUCGGACAUUGUCAGUUGGGCAGUUUGACUGGGGCGGUCGCCUCCCAAAAAGUAACGGAGGCGUUCAAAGGUUCGCUCAGAAUGGACGGAAACCAUUCGUAGAGUACAAAGGCAGAAGCGAGCUUAACUGCAAAACCUACAAGUUGCGCAGAGUAGAAAUACGGACUUAGUGAUCCGGUGGCACCGCAUGGAAGGGCCAUCGCUCAACGGAUAAAAGCUACCCCGGGGAUAACAGGCUUAUCUCCCCCAAGAGUCCACAUCGACGGGGAGGUUUGGCACCUCGAUGUCGGCUCGUCUCAUCCUGGGGCUGAAGUAGGUCCCAAGGGUUGGGCUGUUCGCCCAUUAAAGAGGCACGCGAGCUGGGUUCAGAACGUCGUGAGACAGUUCGGUCCCUAUCCAGCGUGGGCGUAAGAAAUUUGAGAGGAUCUGUCCCUAGUACGAGAGGACCGGGAUGGACACACCUCUGGUGUACCAGUUGUUCCGCCAGGAGCAUAGCUGGGUAGCUACGUGUGGAAUUGAUAAGCGCUGAAC